GAUGAACGCUAGCGGCAGGCUUAAUACAUGCAAGUCGAGGGGCAGCAUGAUUGUAGCAAUACAAUUGAUGGCGACCGGCAAACGGGUGCGGAACACGUACACAACCUCCCAAUAAGUGGGGAAUAGCCCAGAGAAAUUUGGAUUAAUACCCCGUAACAUAACGAUGUGGCAUCACAGUGUUAUUAUAGAUUUUUCGCUUAUUGAUGGGUGUGCGGCUGAUUAGAUAGUUGGCGGGGUAACGGCCCACCAAGUCUACGAUCAGUAGCUGAUGUGCGAGCAUGAUCAGCCACACGGGCAAUGAGACACGGGCCCGACUGCUGCGGGGGGCAGCAGUAAGGAAUAUUGGACAAUGGGCGCAAGUCUGAUCCAGCCAUGCCGCGUGAAGGAUUAAGGUCCUCUGGAUUGUAAACUUCUUUUAUAAGGGACGAAAAAAGGCUUCUCUAAGUCGUCUGACGGUACCUUAUGAAUAAGCACCGGCUAACUCCGUGCCAGCCGCCGCCGUAACAC
rnacentral:rRNA from 1 species